rnacentral:lncRNA from 1 species
AUGGCCUGUGGUCCUAAGAAACAUCUGAUGCACUUAGCGGCUGGAUAAGGUGACUGGCAUGUUUGCUCCUGGUCCAUCCACUGUUCCUCACAAGCUGAAGGAAUGCCUGCCUCUGAUCAUUUUCUAAGGAACAGACUUAGUACGUCCAGACUGGAGAUUCAUGCAGCGCUUCAUUAAGAUUGAUGGCAGAGUCAGGAUUGACAUAACCUGCCCUGCUGGGUUUAUGGAUGCCGUCAGCAUUGACAGAUCUGUGACACCAAGGUCGUUUUGCUGUUCAUUGUGUUACACCUGAGGAAGCCAAGCACAAGUUGUGCAAGGUGAGAAAGAUCCCUCACAAAAGGAACCCCUCAUCUGGUGAGCCACAAUGCUCGUCCUAGUCACAACCGUAACCAAGGAGACAGGCAAAACACCUGACCUCAUCAAGCUUGACACUGGGAAUCUGUAUGGUGACUGGAGGUACUAACUUGGGAAGAACUGCAUCCCAGCUCUUUUGAUGUGGUUCAAGUGAAUGAAAAGAUGCCAAUGGCAACAGCUUUGCCACUCGGCUCUCCAACAUUUUUGUUAUAGGCAAGGGCAACAAACCAUGAAUUCUCUUCCCCAAGGAAAAGGAAUCGGCUCACCAUUGCUGGAGACAAGAGGCUAGAGGCAAGUAGAGCAGUGGG